rnacentral:rRNA from 1 species
GUUAAAAAGCUCGUAGUUGGAUUUCUGAUAGGGAGCCGAUCACCACUGUAGUGAGUGUUAGGUACCUGUCAUCCUUCUGUUAACUCUAGCGUCAUUCAUUUGUCGUUGGACGGACCAGAUACUUUACCUUGAGAAAAUUAGAGUGUUUCAGGCAGGCCUAGCCGGAAUACAUUAGCAUGGAAUAAUGGAAUAGGACUAUAGUCUCGUCGUUGGUUACGUGGACUGCAGUAAUGAUUAAUAGGGAUAGUUGGGGGCAUUAGUAUUUAAUAGCUAGAGGUGGAAUUCUCUAAUUUUUUAAAGACUAA